CAAUCCGAUUUGAAGAACCUUCA
rnacentral:siRNA from 1 species